rnacentral:rRNA from 1 species
UACGUAGGUGGCAAGCGUUGUCCGGAUUUACUGGGCGUAAAGGGCGCGCAGGCGGUCGAUUUAGUCGCGUGUGAAAGCCCCCGGCUCAACUGGGGAGGGUCACGCGAUACUGAUCGACUCGAAGGCAGGAGAGGGUAGUGGAAUUCCCGGUGUAGUGGUGAAAUGCGUAGAUAUCGGGAGGAACACCAGUGGCGAAGGCGACUACCUGGCCUGUUCUUGACGCUGAGGCGCGAAAGCUAGGGGAGCAAACGGG